GACGAACGCUGGCGGCGUGCUUAACACAUGCAAGUCGAACGGUAAGGCCCUUUCGGGGGUACACGAGUGGCGAACGGGUGAGUAACACGUGGGUGAUCUGCCCUGCACUUUGGGAUAAGCCUGGGAAACUGGGUCUAAUACCGGAUAGGACUACGCGAUGCAUGUCGUGUGGUGGAAAGCUUUUGCGGUGUGGGAUGGGCCCGCGGCCUAUCAGCUUGUUGGUGGGGUGAUGGCCUACCAAGGCGACGACGGGUAGCCGGCCUGAGAGGGUGUCCGGCCACACUGGGACUGAGAUACGGCCCAGACUCCUACGGGAGGCAGCAGUGGGGAAUAUUGCACAAUGGGCGCAAGCCUGAUGCAGCGACGCCGCGUGGGGGAUGACGGCCUUCGGGUUGUAAACCCCUUUCAGCACAGACGGAGCGUAAGUGACGGUAUGUGCAGAAGAAGCACCGGCCAACUACGUG
rnacentral:rRNA from 1 species